UGGGGAAUUUUGGACAAUGGGCGCAAGCCUGAUCCAGCCAUGCCGCGUGCGGGAAGAAGGCCUUCGGGUUGUAAACCGCUUUUGUCAGGGAAGAAAUCUUCUGAGUUAAUACCUCGGGAAGAUGACGGUACCUGAAGAAUAAGCACCGGCUAACUACGUGCCAGCAGCCGCGGUAAUACGUAGGGUGCAAGCGUUAAUCGGAAUUACUGGGCGUAAAGCGUGCGCAGGCGGUUUUGUAAGACAGAGGUGAAAUCCCCGGGCUCAACCUGGGAACUGCCUUUGUGACUGCAAGGCUUGAGUGCGGCAGAGGGGGAUGGAAUUCCGCGUGUAGCAGUGAAAUGCGUAGAUAUGCGGAGGAACACCGAUGGCGAAGGCAAUCCCCUGGGCCUGCACUGACGCUCAUGCACGAAAGCGUGGGGAGCAAACAGGAUUAGAUACCCUGGUAGUCCACGCCCUAAAACGAUGUCAACUGGUUGUUGGGAAGGUUCCUUCUCAGUAACGUAGCUAACGCGUGAAGUUGACCGCCUGGGGAGUACGGCCGCAAGGUUGAAAACUC
rnacentral:rRNA from 1 species